UUCUUCAAAAAAAAAAAAAAAUUUUAUUUCUUUGCCUUAGUCGUAUAUGUCACAAAUAUUUUAGGUAGAAAUCCCAGAAAUGUUCAAUCAACAAGACUAUUUCAGUCUCAAACAAAUAACCAUUCAAAAAGUUCGAUCUCAUAAGAUAAUUAUUAAUUUCCGUAGGUACUUACAAACAAAAUAAUUAAAUCGGUAUCUGCAGGCGUUUCAAAAAUUGAAGAUUUUCACGCUAAGAGUUGGGCUUUGCGUUCUGAAAUAAAUGAAUUAAACGGCAAAUGUUUAAUUCAAGCCGAAAUAAUAAAAUCAUUGAAAGAUUCCAUUGACGAUUUGGAGAAAAAUAAUGGCUUAAAUAAUUUAGUAGAUGACUUGCAACAACAAGUAAUGACUGCAAAAUCUAAUGUCUGCGAGAUGAUGAAGUCGCAUCCUAGUGAAAAACUACCGAGUUUCGACCUACCGGCUCCAGACCCGAAAACAAACGAGAUAAAAGUACUACCAAAUUUAAAAGUUAGUGCUAGUGAUUUCGCCAAAGCCAUAUGCCAGGAAGAAAUUUCAAAAAGAGCCAAAUUGCUAAGUAAGAAUGAAGUGGCCUGAUAAGGGUAUAAGAUUGCAGUAGGGAUUUGAUAAAAACGCUCCAGUUGUAAAAAUCCUAAUAAGUGAUCAGGAAGUCACAGAAGUGCAAGAUUUAUGUUUGAAAUGUGAAAAAAUCAAUGUAUUGAAAGAAGGUGCAAGAGAUACCCCAAACUGGUCGACAUGCAAUCGUGGAUUAGCGAGACUCUUAGUGACGAACGUUAUCGAGCGUCAAAAAAAGUCAAAUUAAAGGAACCAAAAAUUCAAAAAAAAAUAA
rnacentral:lncRNA from 1 species